AUAUCAAAGCAGCGAAUAGAGAGAGAGCCUGGGACUAGGCUGCAUUACUGUAUAUGAUUAAUUCAUUGUAGGCCUAUUGAUAGCCGUCGUCCUGACGUCGCCGUCUCACAUUCGUAAACUCCCAACCUAGUCCCAGGCUCUCUCUCUAUUCGCUGCUUUGAUAU